UACGUAGGGUCCGAGCGUUGUCCGGAAUUAUUGGGCGUAAAGGGCUCGUAGGCGGUUUGUCGCGUCGGGAGUGAAAACUCAGGGCUCAACCCUGAGCGUGCUUCCGAUACGGGCAGACUAGAGGUAUGCAGGGGAGAACGGAAUUCCUGGUGUAGCGGUGGAAUGCGCAGAUAUCAGGAGGAACACCGGUGGCGAAGGCGGCUCACUGGCCCGUAACUGACGCUCAGGCGCGAUAGCGUGGGGAUCAAACAGG
rnacentral:rRNA from 1 species